rnacentral:rRNA from 1 species
UACAGAGGGGGCAAGCGUUGUUCGGAAUUACUGGGCGUAAAGGGCGCGUAGGCGGCCUUCUAAGUCGAACGUGAAAUCCCCGGGCUCAACCCGGGAACUGCGUCCGAUACUGGAAGGCUUGAAUCCGGGAGAGGGAUGCGGAAUUCCAGGUGUAGCGGUGAAAUGGCGUAGAUAUCUGGAGGAACACCGGUGGCGAAGGCGGCAUCCUGGACCGGUAUUGACGCUGAGGUGCGAAAGCGUGGGGAGCAAACAGG